rnacentral:rRNA from 1 species
CUAGCAUAUCAAUAAGCGGAGGAAAAGAAACCAACAGGGAUUGCCCUAGUAACGGCGAGUGAAGCGGCAACAGCUCAAAUUUGAAAUCUGGCUCUUUCAGAGUCCGAGUUGUAAUUUGCAGAGGGCGCUUUGGCUUUGGCAGCGGUCCAAGUUCCUUGGAACAGGACGUCACAGAGGGUGAGAAUCCCGUACGUGGUCGCUAGCUAUUGCCGUGUAAAGCCCCUUCGACGAGUCGAGUUGUUUGGGAAUGCAGCUCUAAAUGGGAGGUAAAUUUCUUCUAAAGCUAAAUACUGGCCAGAGACCGAUAGCGCACAAGUAGAGUGAUCGAAAGAUGAAAAGCACUUUGGAAAGAGAGUCAAACAGCACGUGAAAUUGUUGAAAGGGAAGCGCUUGCAGCCAGACUUGCUUGCAGUUGCUCAUCCGGGCUUUUGCCCGGUGCACUCUUCUGCAGGCAGGCCAGCAUCAGUUUGGGCGGUGGGAUAAAGGUCUCUGUCACGUACCUCUCUUCGGGGAGGCCUUAUAGGGGAGGCGACAUACCACCAGCCUGGACUGAGGUCCGCGCAUUUGCUAGGAUGCUGGCGUAAUGGCUGUAAGCGGCCCGUCUUGAAACACGGACCAAGGAGUCUAACAUCUAUGCGAGUGUUUGGGUGUCAAGCCCGAACGCGUAAUGAAAGUGAACGGAGGUGGGAACCCGCAAGGGUGCACCAUCGACCGAUCCUGAUGUCUUCGGAAGGAUUUGAGUAAGAGCAUGGCUGUUGGGACCCGAAAGAUGGUGAACUAUGCUUGAAUAGGGUGAAGCCAGAGGAAACUCUGGUGGAGGCUCGCAGCGGUUCUGACGUGCAAAUCGAUCGUCAAAUUUGGGCAUAGGGGCGAAAGACUAAUCGAACUAUCUAGUAGCUGGUUCCUGCCGAGU